GAUGAAGAACGCAGCGAAAUGCGAUAAGUAAUGUGAAUUGCAGAAUUCAGUGAAUCAUCGAAUCUUUGAACGCACAUUGCGCCCGCCAGUAUUCUGGCGGGCAUGCCUGUUCGAGCGUCAUUUCAACCCUCAAGACCCCUUCGGGGGACUUGGUGUUGGGGACCGGCACAGGGGCCUGCCUGCUUGUCUUGCAGCGCCCUCGCCGCCCCCGAAAUGAAUUGGCGGCCUCGUCGCGGCCUCCCCUGCGUAGUAGCACAAACCACGCAACGGGAACGUGACGGCGGCAACUGCCGUAAAACAACCCAAUUUUAUUAGAGUUGACCUCGAAUCAGGUAGGAAUACCCGCUGAACUUAAGCAUAUCAAUAAGCGGAGGA
rnacentral:misc_RNA from 1 species